CCUACGGGCGGCUGCAGUGGGGAAUAUUGCACAAUGGGGGGAACCCUGAUGCAGCAAUGCCGCGUGGGUGAAGAAGCACUCCGGUGCGUAAAGCCCUGUCAGCAGGGAAGAAAAUGACAGUACUUGGACAAGAAGCCCCGGCUAACUACGUGCCAGCAGCCGCGGCAAUACGUAGGGGGCAAGCGUUAUCCGGAUUUACUGGGUGUAAAGGGAGGGCAGGCGGCGUGGCAAGUCAGAUGUGAAAACCCCGGGCCGAACCCCGGGAGUGCAUUUGAAACUGCAGUGCUGGAGUGCCGGAGAGGCAGGCGGAAUUCCUAGUGUAGCGGUGAAAUGCGUAGAUAUUAGGAGGAACACCAGUGGCGAAGGCGGCUUACUGGACGGUAACUGACGCUGAGGCGCGAAAGCGUGGGGAGCAAACAGGAUUAGAUACCCUUGUAGUC
rnacentral:rRNA from 1 species